rnacentral:misc_RNA from 1 species
GCGGAGGAAAAGAAACCAACAGGGAUUGCCUCAGUAACGGCGAGUGAAGCGGCAACAGCUCAAAUUUGAAAUCUGGCUCCUUCGGGGCCCGAGUUGUAAUUUGCAGAGGAUGCGUCGGGUACGGGUGCCUUCCGAGUUCCCUGGAACGGGACGCCAUAGAGGGUGAGAGCCCCGUCUGGUAGGAUACCCAGCCCGUGUGACGCUCCCUCGACGAGUCGAGUAGUUUGGGAAUGCUGCUCUAACGGGAGGUAUACUCCUUCCAAGGCUAAAUACCGGCUGGAGACCGAUAGCGCACAAGUAGAGUGAUCGAAAGAUGAAAAGCACUUUGAAAAGAGAGUCAAACAGCACGUGAAAUUGUUAAAAGGGAAGCGCUCGCUACCAGACUUGGGUUCGGCGGUUCAACCGGGGCCACGCCCCGGGGCAUUCCGCCGGCCCAGGCCAGCAUCAGCUUUCCGUCGGGGGUAAAGGCGUCGGGAAUGUGGCUCCCCUUCGGGGGAGUGUUAUAGCCCGUCGUGUCAUACCCUUCGGGGGGCUGAGGUACGCGCUUCUGCAAGGAUGCUGGCGUAAUGGUAGCUAGUGACCCGUCUUGAAACACGGACCAAGGAGUCAACCUUAUGUGCGAGUGCCCGGGCGUAAAACCCCAGCGCGGAAUGAAAGUGAACGUAGGUGAGAGCUUCGGCGCAUCACCGACCGAUCCUGAUGUCCUCGGACGGAUUUGAGUGAGAGCAUAUAGGGUUGGACCCGAAAGAAGAUGAACUAUGCGUGUGUAGGGUGAAUCCAGAGGAAACUCUGGUGGAGGCUCGCAGCGGUUCUGACGUGCAAAUCGA